rnacentral:rRNA from 1 species
UUCCGGUUGAUCCUGCCGGACCUGACUGCUAUCGGAUUGAUACUAAGCCAUGCGAGUCUUUGCAGUAAUGCAAGGCAUACGGCUCAGUAACACGUAGUCAACCUACCCUAUGGACGAGAAUAAUCUCGGGAAACUGAGCAUAAUUCUUGAUAGAUCAUAAUGCCUGGAAUGGUUUAUGGUUAAAAUGAUUCGUCGCCAUAGGAUGGGACUGCGGCCUAUCAGCUUGUUGGUGAGGUAAUGGCCCACCAAGGCGAUUACAGGUACGGGCUCUGAGAGGAGAAGCCCGGAGAUGGGUACUGAGACACGGACCCAGGCCCUAUGGGGCGCAGCAGGCGAGAAAACUUUGCAAUGUGCGAAAGCACGACAAGGUUAAUCCGAGUGAUUUCUGCUAAAGAAAUCUUUUACCAGUCGUAAAACCGCUGGUGAAUAAGGGGUGGGCAAGUUCUGGUGUCAGCCGCCGCGGUAAUACCAGCUCCCCGAGUGGUCGGGACGAUUAUUGGGCCUAAAGCAUCCGUAGCCGGUUCUGUAGGUCUUAUGUUAAAAUCAAUUGCUUAACAAUUGAACUGCAUGAGAUACCACAAAACUAGGAGGCGGGAGAGGUGGACGGUAUUCCACGGGUAGGGGUAAAAUCCUCUGAACCGUGGAGGACCACCAGUGGCGAAGGCGGUCCACCAGAACGCGCUCGACGGUGAGGGAUGAAAGCUGGGGUAGCGAACCGGAUUAGAUACCCGGGUAGUCCCAGCUGUAAACGAUGCAAGCUAGGUGAUGCAUUAGCCACGUGUUAAUGCAGUGCCGCAGGGAAGCCGUUAAGCUUGCCGCCUGGGGAGUACGGUCGCAAGGCUGAAACUUAAAGGAAUUGGCGGGGGAGCACCACAAGGGGUGAAGCCUGCGGUUCAAUUGGAGUCAACGCCGGG